AUUGAACGCUGGCGGCAUGCUUUACACAUGCAAGUCGAACGGUAACAGGCCGCAAGGUGCUGACGAGUGGCGAACGGGUGAGUAAUGCAUCGGAACGUGCCCAGUCGUGGGGGAUAACGCAGCGAAAGCUGCGCUAAUACCGCAUACGAUCUAUGGAUGAAAGCGGGGGACCGUAAGGCCUCGCGCGAUUGGAGCGGCCGAUGUCAGAUUAGGUAGUUGGUGGGGUAAAGGCUCACCAAGCCAACGAUCUGUAGCUGGUCUGAGGGGACGAUCAGCCACACUGGGACUGAGACACGGCCCAGACUCCUACGGGAGGCAGCAGUGGGGAAUUUUGGACAAUGGGCGCAAGCCUGAUCCAGCAAUGCCGCGUGCAGGAAGAAGGCCUUCGGGUUGUAAACUGCUUUUGUACGGAACGAAACGGUCCUGGUUAAUACCUGGGGCUAAUGACGGUACCGUAAGAAUAAGCACCGGCUAACUACGUGCCAGCAGCCGCAGUAAAAC
rnacentral:rRNA from 1 species